rnacentral:lncRNA from 1 species
CCCGCGCCCUUGCCCGGAGGAGUCGCCCACCCCGGGCGCAAGCGUCCAACCGGCCGCAGACACCCUGCGCGGCUUGCGGGGACCUUCGCCUCGACGCGUUCCACUCCCCGGGUUUUCCUGCUCUCCGGGAAGCCGCGAGGGCAACCUCGGGGGGCGGCCGUGGGGCUGGGAAAAGGAGGAAGGCGCGUGGAGCCGGCGGGGCGGCGUAGGGAGAUUCUGCGCGAAACUAAGCGUCAGAGGCCGCUUUCCUGGCCGUCCCAUUCCGGCCCGCCUGCAGCAGAGAAUGCCUUUCCUUCCCCGGACUGCAUAGCAGGGCUUCCCUCAAAGAACCAGAAUCAAAGGGCAGGAAGGGGGCGCAAAGAUCAGAGUCCAUCCCUCUUGAGAGGAGCAAACGGAGGCUUGCAAAGGUGAAGUCCCGCAGCGAGUUACAGACCUACCCGUAUCCCCAAACUGGGGCCUCCAAAUCCGUCCUGGAGACAGAAUGAGGAUGCUGCAGCCCCAGCAAACCCUUCACCAUCAUUCCUUCUCCCUCUGUACCCUCUCACCCCGCCCCCACGCGCGCGUCCCUUCCCCACCUAACCUCCAAAUGCCCCAGUGACAGGCUUACCAGGAAUACCGGUUAUCCCAGUUGUGUCCCUGGAUCUGUCCCUGUCCAGAUAAAGCCAUUCGGUGG